UGUUCGGAUGAAAUGACAAAAUGGCGGAAGAUGAGGCAAAGAGUGUUGAAAUACCCAAAGAAAUAUUGGCACCACCAGAUGGGCCCAGAGAAGACAUGAUAUCAACAGCUGUCAAAUUUCUUCAAAAUCCAAAAGUAAGAAAAAGUCCAUUACACCAGAAAAAGGCAUUUCUUGAGAGGAAAGGUCUUUCAAAGGAAGAGAUAGAAAUGGCUGUUCAGAGGUCAGGGGUCACAGAGGAGAACAUAGUUAAUACCCCUAGCACUCAGAACACAGUCACCCCUUAUGGGGCCCCUAUUCCUGGACAAGGACCUCAGGUGUACCAACAAUGAAGUAAUACGACCAUUGUUGUUUGGAAAAUCAAAAGAAGAGAACAGGCUGGAGAAAAUGGAAAGAACAAUGACUGAACUUCAGCAAAGCAUUGUUACAACACUGGCUACAGUCCAGGAGUCCCUGACAGUUUUACAGGGCAUGGUCAGCAAGCAAGACGAAAAACUGCAGGCCAUAUCACAUGAUGUGUACAAUAAGCAGUCUUCAGAGACCCUUUCUAGAGUACAAGAAUCCCACGUCACUUCAGAAAUCAAGCAAGAACUGACAUCCAUCAAAGGACUUCUUCUGAACAGACGACAGUUUCCUCCCACGCCAGUUUCAUCACCAGUGUUACCUGCCUGGCAACUUUCCAGUAAUACCCCAAGUGCAGCUGCACCAACAAAAACGCUAGUGACCCCUGGUGGUGACAGAGAGGUAUCGGAGGAUGCUCUGCUGAACAGUAAUGAAAAAGACAGAUCAGAGGAUGAUCAAAAGAUAGUUGAAGUACAGUUAAGUUCGACCAGUUUAGCAGAAAACACUGCUGCUCAAGAGAGUGAUUCAUUAAACACGGAUGUGAUACCAACAGAAAACAUUCAACAAGAUGAUGAAGAGGUGGACUAAAUAAAUGGAAGACUGUGAUAAUUCUGUACUUUGUUUUUUCAUGUGACUAUGAUGAUAGGGUAUGUAUGAUUGAUGAGUUGAAGGAAAGAUGAUUGAAAUUGCCAAAAGUGUUUUAAAACAUGCAUGUUACUGUACCGGUAAAUUAAAUGUAAAUCUCCU
rnacentral:misc_RNA from 1 species